rnacentral:misc_RNA from 1 species
GAUGAAGAACGUAGCGAAAUGCGAUAAGUAGUGUGAAUUGCAGAAUUCAGUGAAUCAUCGAAUCUUUGAACGCACAUUGCGCCCUUUGGUAUUCCAAAGGGCAUGCCUGUUCGAGCGUCAUUUGUACCCUCAAGCUUUGCUUGGUGUUGGGCGUCUUGUCUCCAGUUCGCUGGAGACUCGCCUUAAAGUAAUUGGCAGCCGGCCUACUGGUUUCGGAGCGCAGCACAAGUCGCGCUCUCUUCCAGCCAAGGUCAGCAUCCACAAAGCCUUUUUUCAACUUUUGACCUCGGAUCAGGUAGGGAUACCCGCUGAACUUAAGCAUAUCAAUAAGCGGGGGA